GAAAGACCUCUCCUAUCGAUCCCCUCCAUCCCUCGAGGAGACGCCGCCGUCGUCGUACGCACCUCGAUCCCCUCGAACGCCCGCGCACAGCCGCCCUCUCCCGUCUCCCCCACCCAUACCCGCUUUCUUCCUCGCCGGCGCCGCCCUCUUCCCCGCCCUCGAGCGGGGAUGCCCCGGAUCGAGUCGCGCAAGUCAGCGGGCCGGCGUCCAGAUCCGCCACGGCCACAUCUCGUCCAGAUGGAUGGCGCCGGGAGAGGUAGAUCGAGGGGGCGGGUACCGUGUGGGUCUUGGACGCCGCUCCCGCCCGAUCCGGUGAGGAGGCCACCGCCACCAUGACUCUGGAUACAGGUCGGCCCAUCGCCACUGGCAUGCCUUACCGCAAGGUCGACUCGGGCACCUCCUAUCAAUGGUUGCCGCGCAGAUGAUAGUAUGAUACCGAGGGGCAGCCAGAGUGCCAGACGCCGGCGUGGCGGGUAGACGAUGAUGCACCUUGCGACGCUGACAGUAUCUCCUGCUCCAGCGAAGCACAACGUCUCUUGUAGAAGAUAUCCUCCGCCUGCAGCGGGAUGUGUUCGUUUCCAGGGUGAGAUUCUUGUGUCUUUCCUCUUCUUCUCUGGUGACUAUGGUUUGCAGAUUUGGGAUUAGGUAGUAAGCGGCAGCAGGCCUUGGCAGGGGUGGCAUUGCAAGAACCUCACACAUGGUGAAGAAGAUGCAGUUGAAAAGCGACCGGCUCACUCCAUUAUUCGUUUGGACAUCGACAAUUAUUCGUUUGGAUGCAUUAUUAUCAGGUUGUUUCUUCUUAGUUUACUGACAGCAAGAAUUGAUAGCCUUUUCCUUUUGUACGUUGUGUUUCUUAAUCACCUAGCUUACCUGGAUUCAAGAGUAUGACUAUUGGUUGUUGUUUUUUGAGAGGAUGACUGUUGGUUGUUGAGAGGAUGACUGUUUGCCUCCAAGGAAGCUGCAGGGCUGAUCCAAGUAAGCAAGUUUUUUCUUAUCUGAUCCUAAAACAAAUGACUUGACAGAAUAAAGUAUAAGCAAUGGACUGCACUAAUAUAUACAAGUGCAUCAAUUGUUCUGCUAGCUUUUACAUAAUGAGCUAUUCUUAGAAACUAUUCCUGUAAGCAUAUGCUUUUGUACAGUUUUUUUUUUGUUAAUUCCUAUGUAUUAGCUUUGACUUUCUUCAGUUCCGACGUUAAGUACCUCGAUCCUUUUCAGUAUGCUGAAGGUUGAAAAUGAGGCUGUCACUAUGAAGAAUAUUUGCCGUUAAGUUUAAAUUCCUUGUUAAAGGUUCAGUAAGAUACUUGAAUAUUGUCGAUGUCAAACUGCAUGUAUACAUGACGAUAGAUUAAAGAAUUAUGUGCUGAUAUCUUCCAAUGUUGGUUGAACUACAUAUGCUUUGCUUACAGGUUUUCUAGAUAAAAAUAAGGGAUGAUAGGUUUUUGACAAACUUGAUUCUAAAGUGAAUGCUCACCUAAAGGCUUAAUAUAUAGAUACAGUGCUUCCAUCACUUGGGUAAGUUGAAUGCAAAUUUGCACACUUUUCUCUACUAUUAUGAAAUAUGUUCGGAGCAAAAAAAAUCUCAUGAGUACGACAGUUCUCACGAUUUUAUUGUAUGCGUGACAUAGAUUAGAUGAGAAUAAAAUUUAAUCACAGGUAUGUUGCCUCCAUGGUAAACACUGAAGAAAUGGGGGUUGUAUAUUUUCAGAUCAAAUAAUAGCUUUAUUGUUUCUCUAUUCUUUCUUUUUUCUCACACAGCAUAAAAACUGAAUGUAUUCAUUACUACUACUGAAUUGCAAAAAAAAAUAUAAACUUGGUUCAAAUCUUCCUGGUUAGAUUUUGCAAAGGACUUGGAUGGAGUUUGGUGUGUUAAUCAAACAGGGUUCAAUAUAGAAAUUGACAUUGGAGAGACUUGUAUGUACUGCUAAGACACGGUUCAGCUUGCAGAGGCUGACACGUGCAUUGAUCUUCAGACAGGAAGAAAAAUUAAAGUAAGACAUAUUCAUAUAUCAAGGAUUAGAUUUUGUAGAGGAUAUGAAUUGGGCUAGGUCACAAUAGAUGGUGUUCUUCAGUUAUAGAGAAAGGAUUGUCGAUGUAGGUUCUGUUUGGACAUAUAGUAGACAUAAAGUUGUAUCCUUUUACAUGAUUAGCUUAGGUACGCACGCAGCAGAGGAAAAAAUUCACAAGCUUUAGAUGGAGUCUGGUGUGUUAGUCGAAUUUGAUUCAGAAUAGAAACUGAUAUUGGAAACUUGUAUGUACUGACAUGACACGGUUCAGAUUGCAUUGGCUGACGUAUGUAGUGAUCUUCAUAUAAAAUGGAAAAUCAAAUCAAUCAUAUGUACCUCCGGGUCUUCUGUCUGAUACAUGGUCUUCUCAUCUUCUUUUGUUUCUGAUUAGCAUGAUUAUCUUUUAGUCUGUUAGAAUUGUAUUGGAAGAAAAGAUCGAGGAUAACCACCAGGUAUAGCAUUUGGUUGGAUUGAUGUUUCGUCCGCACUGCCACUUCAUUAUUUCCUGUACAGUCCACCUUCACACUCUUGUAAGCUCAUGCAAAGAUUUCUGACUAAGUUCUCAUGAUUUAUCAAUAUAAAAAAUAUUAAAUUUUGCAAUGUAAAUAACUGUGUUUCUUUUGUAUGGGUCAGCAGGGAUAGGAAACUGAAAGUCACCAGUGGUGAACAACAAGUGCAGAUUUCAAGUCCUGUAAGCAAAUUGAUCAUUUCGGUAAUUCAUUCUUAUGUCAGAAUUUGAUUGCAAUUGGGGUUGGAAGGAAGCAACAAAAUUCCUAUCCUGUAAUAUGCAUUUUUGGUAUGUGCCUUGACAGUUGUUCAGGUCGAUACAGAAUUCCAUUCAUCUGUUUUUUUAAGGCACUUAAUUUAACAUUGUUUUUAUUUUUGUCUAAGAGAUGGAUUGCUGUUAAGAUUUGAGACAUAUAUACAGGGGCCUACAAGAUCCAAUUCAUGUUAGUUACCUACCCAGUGCUUACCUAUAAAUCUGGACCUUAGUGCAUCUUUCAUAAAAUGUUAUUUUUGUAAUUUAUAAAAGUGAACAAAUUCCUUAAAGUAGUUCUUACAUGUGCUAUAGACAAUUCAUCAUUUAUUAAAGGUGAAAGGAACAUAGUUGGGAAAUUUAUUUGUGAAUUUGUUGUCGAGAUAGGUAGGUAAUGAAACUGUAGCUGUACAUGAGAGCAGUUGUUCUAUAAGAUAUUGAAAGCUUUACUUUGGGUGCUUAAGUGCAACAAUUACUUCUCCUUGAAGGAUCCUGUUUCUGUCUUGGAUGGGUGUCUACACAUAUGCUUGCAGUAUAUACAAUCUAUUAUUCAUUUUUUAGUUUUUAAUGGUCAAAAAUCAUGUUAUUCAUGUUUGCUCUUUAUUAAAAUUCUCCCGGGAUUUAAUUCAGAAAGAAUGAUGCUCCCGACGAUUUAGGUCGUGCUUAGAUAGGAGCAACAAGCAAUGGCAACAAACUUCACGUAAAUGGCCAGUUAGAUAAAUGCUCAUGUACUCACACAUCCCUUACGCCAUUUAGAUUCGUACACACUUUGUAUCAGCAUCACCUGGAAACACGUUUAUGCUGUCACACAUCUCUUGGCAUCUAGCUUUCAUUUCUUUUUCGAAUUUUGCUCAGAUUGGAGAUGGGAGAGAGAGCAAGGCUCGGUACUUCUUUGCUAACUGUUGAUGUUACCCUUCGAAGAAGGGAGAGACACAAUAAACGCUUCAGAGUGUUCUAAUGUGCUCAUUAUGUGAUUUUAUUUGAUUAUCUAAUUUAUUCUCUAGACUUUAGCCGGAGUCGAAUCCGCCAGCAUGGGGAUGAGGUUGGAAGACCCAACAGCGUCGGUGAAAAAACAUGCUUUUAAUGCUUCAAGGUGGUUUUACAAUCACCAUGCUUUUAAUGCCAGCUUCUUUCAGAGUGGGCUAAUUCAAUGGGCUUACUCAAUGUCAGAUAGGUUCAUAUAUUAGGUAUUAUCAACAAGAGUUGGCUGCGGAUGCUAUAUGUAUGUUAUGGAUCAGCCAGGACCUUAAGAUCAUGCUCUUAAAUGCAUGCACAGAACUUAGCUCCAGAUUUAACAAGAGUGCAUUUUACAAUGAGUUUUAUUGCCGACGUUGAUCAUAAUCAGUAAGUGUACAGAGCAAUAUAAGGAUUUUCUAAUGUUUAAUAUAUGCUUAUUUGUAGCAUACUAUUGCAGACUUGGAGUGAAGUACUGCCAUGAUAAGUACUCCCUCUGUUCCUAAAUACUCCCUCCGUCCCAAAAAUUUUGGCUUAGAUUUGUCUAAAUACGUAUGUAUCAAGUCAUGUUUUAGUAUUAGAUACAUCCGUAUCUAGACUAAUCUAAGACAAGAAUUUUGGGACGGAGGGAGUAUAAGUCUUUUUAGAGAUUCCACUACAAACUACAUACGGAUGUAUAUAGACAUAUUUUAGAGUGUAGAUUCACUCAUUUUACUUCGUAUGUAGUCCAUAGUGGAAUCUCUAAGAAGGCAUAUAUUUAGGAACAGAGGGUGUACCAGUUGUACCUUUUCGGAAAAGCUUUUCUUAAGAUGUAAAAUACAAAAAAGCACAUCGUGCUAAUUUAUUGGUAUUUUCUUAGAGCAACCAAUUUAUUGGUAUUUUGUGACUUUCUUUCCUGGAUAGUAAUCAGUUAUACUAUUUCAUACCUGUUAGAAGGUAUAUAUGAGACAGAGUAGAAUCAAAUAUAUAUGGGAUAGACACUAGAAAACUGCAAGGCGUCGUAUGUUGUUUGUUCGAAAAAUCCUUGGAAUGCCUUGACUUUGGCCUCACACACGCCGAGAUGUGAACCUGAUGCCUGAUUAUUAUCGUUCCUUCAUUGUAUGAGAGAUGUUCCUGCACAUGCUCUUUUCUCUAAGAAGGCAUAUUUCCUUGCUUGACGAAGGUUGCAUCUCUACAUGGAAGGUUUGUAUGCAUAUCUUGUCACGUAUAUUUUUUCAUGAAAACAUGAGGUGGGCAGUAGGCAUCAAUCUGUUGUAGGUUCAGAGUUGACAGUGUCGACAACUUUGUAUGGUUAAAGGAUAUUCCAAGUAUUUCCACUAUUGCAAGAUAACAACUUUGAUCACUUAUGAUAAGAUGCUUUGGUGUUAAGUUUCUAUUUUUUUAUGGACCAAGAAGAUGAAUUAUUUCGGCAACAUCAAUUGCAUUUGUACUAUCAACAAAAGACUUGUUGCUUGGACAGUUUUACAUUUAGAGGUACACUAUUAUCUCUGCAGUUUAUUGUUACUUCUAAAGCUCAAUAACAUCCAUGCGUAGAUGCAAUGCCAGUCGAUUUAUGGUUGUCAAUGUUAAUAUUUCUCAAUUCAUUUUGCAGCAACGGACCUGCUGUGGUAGUAGUAGUGAGGUGGAUAUAUCUGCAAGGACAUGAGACAUGUAGAACCAUUGAAAUAUUUAUAUCCACUACAUAAAAGGAUGUACACAUAAGCUCGGUAUGUGCUCGGAGAAGGUGCGGUGUUGCGAUGAACAAAAUGUUGUGUCGUGGUGGUGGUCGCCCUCGGCUACGAUGAAGUGUACUCCUUGGAGGAGCGGCCGGUGACGCCGUGGAAGGGAGAGGAGUGGCCGAUGACGCCGUGGAGAGGAGGGAACACGGAGGUGUGAGAGCAAGGUGCGUGGGAGGCAACAAUGAGAAGCCGUGGUGGGCAGAGCAGCCGCGGAAUGAGUUGUGGGUGUGAGUAUUGUGUUGUGCGAUGAGAGUGAUAAAUAGAUUUUUGUAAGAACAAAAGAAAAGGAGUGGUCGUUCGCCUUCUUAGGGAAAGCAAUUGUUUGCUACGAGAUAAAUGUCACAUACUUUUCUAUAUAGUGAAAAUAUCACAAAUCCUAACAAGUCAUUU
rnacentral:rRNA from 1 species